AUAAUUAGGAAAAAGAAGAGGGGAAAAAACAUAUAUAGUUAUUCAUAUUACACAUGAACAUGUAUACUUGUGUAAAGUGUAUAUACAUUAAUCAUAACUCAAAAAUCAGUGUAUAAAAUUACUAUUCUAUACUAAUAUACUAUUCUAAAUUACUAAGUCUAUUCUAAAGGUUUUAUGUUUUUAAAUUGUUUUAAUAUAAUGUAUACAUAAACAUGUCUGUGAUAUAUUGUUUGCAGAUGAUUUUAUUAAGAUUAAGUAGUAGGCUUACUAUAGACAGUGAACGUUGGCAGCUUGAUUUUACAAACUGAUAGUUUGUAGACGGUCCCUCAAAAAAGCGAUGACGUCACCUCCUUCAUAGAGGUAAGCGUGUUUUUCUACUCCUUUAAAACGCUGAGUUUGACAGAAAAGUGUGGCGUACAUUUUGCUCAUAAUCGACUACAACGUGACAAUGAAGAUUGAGGAUGUUUCAUCUUUACAUCGUGGCAGAUGGUAAAUGAUGGCAAGUCCACAUUUGUUUCAGAGCAGAGACAGCGUUGCAGAUGGACAAGAGCGUAAAAGCUUUAUUAAGCAUCCAACCUCAUGUUUCUGCAUAUUGUGCAGCAGUGGGGGUCAGCUUAAUCAAUUUAGUCAACUAAAACAAAACAGGACAGCAGGAAGGAUAAAACUGGAAACUGCGAAGUGUUAUUUAUCCUGAAAAGCCAUUCUUGGUGUCAUGCAGUACUAUAAACAAGCUGUAUCAUUCUCCCCAUGAAACACUUUUACAAUCACGCUGCACACCCGUAAAGAUAUCCUCUCUCUCGCAGCAUCAAUGAGAUUAAAGUACAAGAAUGAAGAGAUCUUUAGUAGAGAUCAAGUCACACAGCAGCGCCACAAGAAACUUUAUUCCUUGUUGGGCUGGUUUGUUCCUGCACUGUCAUUCUGGUUCAAAGAAUCAACAGUAGACAGUGUGGAUUUCUUAGAUGAAGACUGGAGAAACACAGAGAAAAUACAACAUAACCCAGUCUUAAAGAAGAGAGUUCUACUUUUUUUCACGUUUCAGUAGAUCACACAGUCAGGCUCAGUGGCCGGAGCCAGGACUCCUGUUUGCUCAUUGUUCAUUCCAGUGAUCAUGACACAGCUAAUAGAGGCCGGAUUAGUGUGCAGGAACAGAGUAGGCAAACACACAGAGACUAAUGAUGGAGACCAGCCAGUCUGCAAUGCUUUCUCGUACUCUAACACCACCUCUGUGGUGUAUUUCAGCAUUAUGGUGUUGGUAUGCCCUAAGUAAGUAUAUACUGUAUAGUCUUUUAUUUGUUGCUUUAUGAUGUAUUAAUGUGCUUUUUAUUAACGCUUGUAACCCCGCAAACACAUCCUAUAUGCCGUUUUUUUUUCAGCAAAUGUGAAACCACGCUCCCAGUUCCCUGCUUCAGUAAAUCUACUAGCCUAUAUGUUCCCGUCCCCCUUCCUCUCUGUGUUUGUCAGUGUGCUCUCCUCAUCUGUCGUCUACGUUUUGAAUCCGGAGUGGUCCAGCGCUGUACCAGACUAGAAUUUUAAGCAUGUCCUUUGGUCAGGAGAAGGGGGCGGUAGAGUCGGUUGCUGUAUGCAUGAAACUUAAAAAGGCUCUAAAGGAGGACUCUAGCAUGAUAACGUGCUAUGUUAUGCGGGUUUGCACCUAAAGGAGUUGAUGUAUAAAAGAGCAUUUUUCUUAUUUGUGUUUUUACUGGUCUAAGCUGGAUGUGGAUAUGUUGCUUAUGUGGGUUAUUUGCAUAAAAUAAUUGAUUUAUUGAAAAACUGA